rnacentral:siRNA from 1 species
GAACCCACAAAGGGUGUUGGUC